UACGUAGGGUGCAAGCGUUGUCCGGAAUUAUUGGGCGUAAAGAGCUCGUAGGCGGUUUGUCGCGUCUGCUGUGAAAACCCGAGGCUCAACCUCGGGCCUGCAGUGGGUACGGGCAAACUAGAGUGCGGUAGGGGAGAAUGGAAUUCCUGGUGUAGCGGUGAAAUGCGUAGAGAUCGGAAAGAACACCAACGGCGAAAGCACUCUGCUGGGCCGACACUGACACUGAGAGACGAAAGCUAGGGGAGCGAAUGGG
rnacentral:rRNA from 1 species